rnacentral:rRNA from 1 species
UCUUACGGGAGGCAGCAGUGGGGAAUUUUGGACAAUGGGCGCAAGCNUGAUCCAGCCAUGCCGCGUGAGUGAAGAAGGCUUUCGGGUUGUAAAGNUCUUUCGGUCGGGAAGAAAAGGUUCGCGCUAACACCGCGGACUCAUGACGGUACCGGCAUAAGAAGCACCGGCUAAUUACGUGCCAGCANCCGCGGUAAUACGUAGGGUGCAGGCGUUAAUCGGAAUUACUGGGCGUAAAGCGUGCGCAGGCGGUUUGNUAAGAGAGAUGUGAAAUCCCCGGGCUUAACCUGGGAACUGCGUUUCUAACUGGCAGGCUUGAGUGUGGCAGAGGGGGGUGGAACUCCACGUGUAGCAGUGAAAUGCGUAGAGAUGUGGAGGAACACCGAUGGCGAAGGCAGCCCCCUGGGCUAACA